rnacentral:rRNA from 1 species
AUUGAACGCUGGCGGCAGGCCUAACACAUGCAAGUCGAGCGGAUGAGAGGAGCUUGCUCCUCGAUUCAGCGGCGGACGGGUGAGUAAUGCCUAGGAAUCUGCCUAGUAGUGGGGGACAACGUUUCGAAAGGAACGCUAAUACCGCAUACGUCCUACGGGAGAAAGUGGGGGAUCUUCGGACCUCACGCUAUUAGAUGAGCCUAGGUCGGAUUAGCUAGUUGGUAGGGUAAAGGCCUACCAAGGCGACGAUCCGUAACUGGUCUGAGAGGAUGGUCAGUCACGCUGGAACGGAGACACGGUCCAGACUCCGACGGGAGGCAGCGGUGGGGAAUAUUGGACAAUGGGCGAAAGCCUGAUUCAGCCAUGCCGCGUGUGUGAAGAAGGCCUUCGGGUCGUAAAGCACUUUAAGUUGGGAGGAAGGGCUCAUAGCGAAUACCUGUGAGUUUUGACGUUACCAACAGAAUAAGCACCGGCUAACUUCGUGCCAGCCGCCGCAGUAACAC